rnacentral:misc_RNA from 1 species
GAUGAGAGCAGAAAAGGACCGAAGCGGAUGGAACAGCUCCAAUGCAAGCGACAAACUGUUUGUUGGAGGUCUUAGCUGGGAAACCACACAAGAAGCGUUGCAAAGAUAUUUUGCCCGCUAUGGGGAGGUCAUUGACUGUGUGGUUAUGAAAAAUAGUGAAUCAGGCCGAUCCCGAGGAUUUGGAUUUGUAACUUUCUCUGACCCAGCCAAUGUAACAAUAGUGUUGCAGAGUGGACCUCAUCAACUAGAUGGUAGAACGAUUGACCCUAAGCCAUGCAAUCCCAGGACACUUCAGAAACCAAAACGAGCCAGCAGUUACCCCAAGGUGUUUUUGGGAGGCUUGCCUUCAAAUGUGACAGAAACAGAUUUAAGAUCCUUCUUUACGCGAUUUGGCAAGGUUCAGGAGGUUGUGAUUAUGUAUGAUCAAGAAAAGAAAAAGUCUAGGGGAUUUGGUUUCCUCUCCUUUGAGGAUGAUGAUGCUGUUGACCGUUGUGUAUCAGAGCACUUUGUUAACUUGAAUGGAAAACAGGUUGAGAUUAAAAAGGCAGAACCCAGAGAUUCAUCAAAUAAAAUGGGCGGUGACAACUCCUGGGGUCCUCCUCAAGGAGGUCCUCAGAUGGGCAUGGGCGGCGGUGGCAUGGGAAUGGGAGGACCUAAUGGACAAAUGGGAGGCCCCAUGAGUGGCCCUAUGGGACCCAUGGGUGGCCCCAACAUGAUGCAAGGAUACCAAGGCUGGGGCAACACACAGGCUCAGGGCUAUCCUGGCCAAUGGGGCCCAACCUCCAACCAGCCCCCUGUGAAUGCAGGCUAUGGUACUCCAUCAGGCCCAGCUGGAUAUCAGGGAUGGGGCGCUCCUGCCGGACCUCAAGGACAAGGGAUGGCUCCGCAGUGGGGUUCCAAUUACGGCGGUCCACCGCAGCAACAGGGAUACAGCUCCUAUGGACCUCAAGGCGCACCUCAGUCGGGCUACGGACAGAACUGGAACUGGAACAUGGCACAGAAUGGCCCUCCGGCUGGCGGUGCUCCUCAGGGUCCUUCCGGAGCAGGUCCCCAAGCUGACAUGUACUCCAGAGGCACUGGUGCUGGGGCCGCAACACCCUCUGGCCCUGGACCUGCGGCUCCUGGUGCUGGUGGUGCACAGAAGGCUGGUGCAGACUAUGCUGCUAGCUAUGGUUAUGGAAGUGGUGGAUACGGAGCGGACUCAACCAGUUACGGCGCCAACAGGGGCUAUGGUGCUGAUGCGGGAUCCAACUCUAGUGGGGGCGGCUAUGGUUCGAGCCACCCACCCGUCCCAGCAUUCCAAUGGAAAGGCAGUUUUUCAAGUACUGCAGGCACCAAAAUUCUUUGAAGGCGUAAGUAAGGCUGCUCAUAACAUAAAAUUGUCCCAGAACUAAUUAAUUGUUUGGUUUUUCGUAAACCCUGCUCGUUAAUUUGAAUUAGUGCAACACCAGUAGCAAUUGCGUGUUAGUAGUUGAUUGAGGAGGUUAAACGUUGUUUUUCUCUAACCUCAGCGAUAAACUGAUUACCUGCCUAACAAACCAGUCUUUAUCUGCACAUGAUUGAACAAAAUUUACUGAGAGCAAGUAGGAUAGGUCAUCAAGGCUAGGAUACACUGAAGUUAGCUGGAGGCGAACUUUGACUUAAUCAAAACCACCUGGCUUUCACUCCCUUUACCAUGGCCACACAUAACAGCAUGUGGAAAAAAAAGUCACCUACCAUUUAAAUACAAGCUAAAAGACUACUAUCUCUCUUUCUCUGCCUCUUCCUUCUGCUUCAUGCGGGUGAAUUCUUAUAUUUUUGUCUGGAGACGUGCUCACAUACAUGAUAGGAUGAGCUUCUCCAUCCAUCAAGUGUGGACAUUGCAUGGUCAGAAUUCAGAGAUAGGAUCAGAACCAAAUGUUUGGGAGAGAGCCUUUUGUGUCGUGACACAGUGCUGCAUUUACAAGCCAUUCCUGCUAACCUUUGUUCCUGCUUCUUUUGUCCUCAAGCUAACUCACGGAAAUGCUCUCCAAACAUCAGAGUUCUUGUCAGCAGUCAGGGUGACGGGCAGGGAGCAUCAGGAGGCUACACGGCUGGGCCUGGCCCUCAACGAGGAGGCAACUACAAUGCCCCUACUCAAACCCAGAGUUUCCACCCC